rnacentral:rRNA from 1 species
UACAGAGACUGCGAGCGUUAUUCGGAUUCACUGGGCGUAAAGGGUGCGCAGGUGGCAGUUCAAGUCUGCUGUCAAAGACCGGGGCUUAACUUCGGAAAGGCAGUGGAAACUGAACAGCUAGAGUAUGGUAGGGGCAGAGGGAAUUCCUGGUGUAGCGGUGAAAUGCGUAGAGAUCAGGAAGAACAUCGGUGGCGAAGGCGCUCUGCUGGACCAUAACUGACACUCAGGGACGAAAGCUAGGGGAGCGAACGGG